rnacentral:misc_RNA from 1 species
UUUCCGUAGGUGAACCUGCGGAAGGAUCACUAAAGAGAACUUGCCCUUCGGGGUAGAUCUCCCACCCUUUGUUUAUUAUACUUUGUUGCUUUGGCGGGCCUGCCUCACGGCUGCCGGCGUAAGCUGGCUCGCGCCCGCCAGAGACCCCUAAACUCUGAAUAUUGUCGUCUGAGUAAUAUAUAUAAUAAGUUAAAGCUUUCAACAACGGAUCUCUUGGUUCUG